CGUAUCACUUAAAGCGAUUCAGCGGGUUACGAUUGACGGAGCGAAGCGACGUCAAAGCGUAUACAAAGUCGAGUCGGUUUAAGGAUACGUUCGUUGGGUAGGGGAGCGUUCUGUAAGCCUGUGAAGGUGGCCUGUGAGGGUUGCUGGAGGUAUCAGAAGUGCGAAUGCUGACAUAAGUAACGAUAAAGCGGGUGAAAAGCCCGCUCGCCGGAAGACCAAGGGUUCCUGUCCAACGUUAAUCGGGGCAGGGUGAGUCGACCCCUAAGGCGAGGCCGAAAGGCGUAGUCGAUGGGAAACAGGUUAAUAUUCCUGUACUUGGUGUUACUGCGAAGGGGGGACGGAGAAGGCUAUGUUGGCCGGGCGACGGUUGUCCCGGUUUAAGCGUGUAGGCUGGUUUUCCAGGCAAAUCCGGAAAAUCAAGGCUGAGGCGUGAUGACGAGGCACUACGGUGCUGAAGCAACAAAUGCCCUGCUUCCAGGAAAAGCCUCUAAGCAUCAGGUAACAUCAAAUCGUACCCCAAACCGACACAGGUGGUCAGGUAGAGAAUACCAAGGCGCUUGAGAGAACUCGGGUGAAGGAACUAGGCAAAAUGGUGCCGUAACUUCGGGAGAAGGCACGCUGACACGUAGGUGAAGUGAUUUACUCACGGAGCUGAAGUCAGUCGAAGAUACCAGCUGGCUGCAACUGUUUAUUAAAAACACAGCACUGUGCAAACACGAAAGUGGACGUAUACGGUGUGACGCCUGCCCGGUGCCGGAAGGUUAAUUGAUGGGGUCAGCGCAAGCGAAGCUCCUGAUCGAAGCCCCGGUAAACGGCGGCCGUAACUAUAACGGUCCUAAGGUAGCGAAAUUCCUUGUCGGGUAAGUUCCGACCUGCACGAAUGGCGUAAUGAUGGCCAGGCUGUCUCCACCCGAGACUCAGUGAAAUUGAACUCGCUGUGAAGAUGCAGUGUACCCGCGGCAAGACGGAAAGACCCCGUGAACCUUUACUAUAGCUUGACACUGAACAUUGAGCCUUGAUGUGUAGGAUAGGUGGGAGGCUUUGAAGUGUGGACGCCAGUCUGCAUGGAGCCGACCUUGAAAUACCACCCUUUAAUGUUUGAUGUUCUAACGUGGACCCGUUACCCGGGUUGCGGACAGUGUCUGGUGGGUAGUUUGACUGGGGCGGUCUCCUCCUAAAGAGUAACGGAGGAGCACGAAGGUUGGCUAAUCCUGGUCGGACAUCAGGAGGUUAGUGCAAUGGCAUAAGCCAGCUUGACUGCGAGCGUGACGGCGCGAGCAGGUGCGAAAGCAGGUCAUAGUGAUCCGGUGGUUCUGAAUGGAAGGGCCAUCGCUCAACGGAUAAAAGGUACUCCGGGGAUAACAGGCUGAUACCGCCCAAGAGUUCAUAUCGACGGCGGUGUUUGGCACCUCGAUGUCGGCUCAUCACAUCCUGGGGCUGAAGUAGGUCCCAAGGGUAUGGCUGUUCGCCAUUUAAAGUGGUACGCGAGCUGGGUUUAGAACGUCGUGAGACAGUUCGGUCCCUAUCUGCCGUGGGCGCUGGAGAACUGAGGGGGGCUGCUCCUAGUACGAGAGGACCGGAGUGGACGCAUCACUGGUGUUCGGGUUGUCAUGCCAAUGGCACUGCCCGGUAGCUAAAUGCGGAAGAGAUAAGUGCUGAAAGCAUCUAAGCACGAAACUUGCCCCGAGAUGAGUUCUCCCUGAGACUUAGAGUCUCCUGAAGGAACGUUGAAGACGACGA
rnacentral:rRNA from 1 species